ACUCGAUGCCCAGGAUGGAUCAGAGGAGCUGGGGGCCGCAGGCCUGAGCCUCCUUUAGGGACCUCAAAGGGAGGUGGCAGGGGGCUGGGGGCAGUGUGACAGUCUAUCAGGGCGCACUUCAGCAGCAGUGGAAACAGGGCUGCUGUUACGUGACCCCAGGCACCCGGGGGCUUCUGAAGGUAGGGACCCGUGCUCAGUUAGACCCGCCGUCCGGCUGGUGACCUGGCCUCUUCCUUCCCCACAGCCCGAGUCACAGAUGCACAAGAUGGGGAAGUGGCCGCAUCACCCUCACCUGCCCCGUAGACAAAGGAGAGCUGUGGGCUUGGGCUCCAGAGGGAGUAGUCUGGAGAGAAGUGGGGUCAGGGGGUGGUCUCUGGGACACCGACCAGAGUGACAAGGAUGUGCUUGUGCCUUCCUCUGUCAGAUUUGUGUGAGAGAAUUUGUGAGAACAUGGGUACACAUGUGUGUCUGUGUGCGCGUGCAAGUGUUAGAACGUCUGCUGCCAACCAUUCAUACAUGCAUGCGCGUGCACACACACACCGCCCAGAGGCUGGCUGCCAGCAUGCGCGAGGGCAUCUAUUCCCUUCACAUGCUUGCUCUCAGGCUCGGGCUGGAAAUGUCAGCGCUGUGCUGGGUGCCCGCCCCACGCUGGGCAGGGAAAACUUCGUUGCCUCAAAGAUCUUGCUCUGAAAGGCAUGGACGAUGCAGGCCAGGAGUCCUGGCAGAAGGCUCCUGGGAUCUGGACAAGAAAGGAGCUUGUCUUUCCUGGCUCUGCUGGAGUCCUGCCGCUGAGGUUUGGUUACCAUGGUGACGGGCUCCAUGGAAACGCGCAGCUGGCCUUUUCCAGGAUGGGCCUGGACCCCAGACCACCUGCUGCUUCGUUGCUUCCCCUGGUCUCAGCACCCCGAGAAGAUGCCUGGGUGGUCACUCUGCCACCUGGUCCUCACCCCUCCACCUUGGCAGGGACAGGAGAGUCCCCAAGGUCGGUGAGAUGGUACUUCCAACAUGAAGUGUCCAUUGGGAGGCUCCAGGAUCCCACAUUAAACUCAGAAUAUGAAGACCCCAAUUCUCUUAUAUUUAGGCAGAUUGGGGGUAAGUCUUUAUGCGGGCACUGCUUGGUGUCCCGUCAUUCUGUCCCUGUGUCCCGGUCUGCCCCCUCCCAGGGCUGCCUUCUCUUCAUUCAGUUUCUCCCCUGGUCCUGCUGGCCUCUGAGUUCUGCUCUAUUCAGCCAACCAUCUAUACACUGUGGCGCCCAUGUACACCUGUUUUGGAGAAUUGACAGACUAUGAGACCUUCCAUUGGGCCAACCUGGGAGGGGACCCUAACACUACACUCAUUAGCCAUGCGACCUUGAACAAUUCACUCCUUCUUUCUGAGCCUUGGACUCCACGUCUCUGAAUACGUGCGUUAUAGGGCUGCUUAUUCAGCCAACAAACGUGUUGGAAAAUAUCUGCAUUUAUUGAGCACUUAUUUAUUUAUUGCACUCUAAUGCAUUUAUUGUGCUAAGAACUACACUUGCAUCAUCUUAUUUGCUCCUCACGACAACUCUGUGAGACCAGAGUCUUAUUCCCAAUUUAUAGCUGAAGACACUGAGGCCAGGAAGGUGCAGGACCCUGUCCACAGUUGUGCAGCAAGCAGGUGGCAGAGCAGGAAGAACGCAGAUUCACCUGACGCUGAACGACGUAACCACUUUAUGAUUUGGUCAGUUAAAAUUUUUUUUUUUUUUUUGGCAGGGAAAGAUUCACCCUGAGCUAACUGUUGCCAAUCUUCCUCUUUUUUUUUUUCUCCCCGAAGCCCCAGGGCCUGGUUGUCCAUCCUAGUCGUCGGUCGUUCCAGUUCUUCUACGUGAGGUGCUGGCACAGCAUGGCUACUGACAGACGGGCAGUGUGGUUCCGCGACUGGGAAGUGAACCUGGGCCGCCAUGGUGGAGUGUGCAGAACUUUAACUGCUGGGCCAUCAGGGCUGGCUCCGUUGCUUAAUUUUUAUUGAGCAUCUGCCAUGUGAUUUUUCUGCCCUAUGGAGCAUCUACUGGGGGAGAUGGAAAAAAUGGGGAAAUCAUAGCAUACAAACUGUUCUAAGUAGUACGUUGAGAUAGAGGAUAACAAGGGGAUGCUCUUUAGAGGGGGUGAAUGGGCAGGCAAGAUUUCUCGGAGUAAGUGAUACACAAGGAUGAGAGAUCUGAAUGGUGAGAAGAGUCAGCUGUGAGAGGGAAGAGAGACCCAGGCAGGGGGAAUAGCAGGGACGAAGGCCUGGAGGUGGGAAUGGGUUUGGUGUGUCCUUGGGGCUGGAAAGGGUCAGAGGAGCUUGGAGGUGGUGAGCGAGGAGGAGGAAGGCGCAGGAUGAACUGGAGAAGCAGGCGGGGGCUGGAUCACGCAGAGCCUCAUGGGCUGGGAUGCACAGAGUGGUUUAUUCUAAGAACAGUGGAAACCACCAGAAGGUUCCAAGCAGGAGAGUGAGUUGACCUGAUUUAUGUAAGGAGCAGCUCCCCCUGGCUGCUGUGUGGGGGUGGGUAGGAGAGGGGCAAGCAAGGAGGCCAGGAGGAUGUUGUAGUCAUCCAGGUGCGAGAUGGUGGUACCUGGGCUGCACGAUGGAGAGGGAGGGGGCUCCUGGGUCUGACAUAGUCUGGAUGUGGACCAGACAGAACUUGCUGAUGGACUGUAAGCAGGGGAUGAGGAAGAGGAAAGAAUAAAGGAUAGCUCCCUAAUGUCUGCCUCGAGUGU
rnacentral:lncRNA from 1 species